AUGAUGUGGAUUAAUUCGAUGCAACGCGAAGAACCUUACCUACCCUUGACAUGUCCGGAACUUGCCAGAGAUGGCUUGGUGCCCGAAAGGGAAUCGGAACACAGGUGCUGCAUGGCUGUCGUCAGCUCGUGUCGUGAGAUGUUGGGUUAAGUCCCGCAACGAGCGCAACCCUUAUCAUUAGUUGCUACGCAAGGGCACUCUAAUGAGACUGCCGGUGACAAACCGGAGGAAGGUGGGGAUGACGUCAAGUCCUCAUGGCCCUUAUGGGUAGGGCUUCACACGUCAUACAAUGGUCGGUACAGAGGGUUGCCAAGCCGCGAGGCGGAGCCAAUCCCACAAAGCCGAUCGUAGUCCGGAUUGUUCUCUGCAACUCGAGAGCAUGAAGUCGGAAUCGCUAGUAAUCGCAGGUCAGCAUACUGCGGUGAAUACGUUCCCGGGUCUU
rnacentral:rRNA from 1 species